GACGAGGGGUCCAAGCGUUGUUCGGAAUCAUUGGGCGUAAAGCGGGUGUAGGCGGCUCUAUAAGUCAGGAGUGAAAGCCCCAAGCUUAACUUGGGAAGUGCUUUUGAUACUGCAGAGCUUGAAUGUGGGAGAGGGUAGUGGAAUUCCAGGUGUAGUGGUGAAAUACGUAGAUAUCUGGAGGAACACCGGUGGCGAAGGCGGCUACCUGGCC
rnacentral:rRNA from 1 species